GAUGAACGCUGGCGGCGUGCCUAAUACAUGCAAGUCGAGCGAACAGACGAGGAGCUUGCUCCUCUGACGUUAGCGGCGGACGGGUGAGUAACACGUGGAUAACCUACCUAUAAGACUGGGAUAACUUCGGGAAACCGGAGCUAAUACCGGAUAAUAUAUUGAACCGCAUGGUUCAAUAGUGAAAGACGGUUUUGCUGUCACUAUAGAUGGAUCCGCGCCGCAUUAGCUAGUUGGUAAGGUAACGGCUUACCAAGGCAACGAUGCGUAGCCGACCUGAGAGGGUGAUCGGCCACACUGGAACUGAGACACGGUCCAGACUCCUACGGGAGGCAGCAGUAGGGAAUCUUCCGCAAUGGGCGAAAGCCUGACGGAGCAACGCCGCGUGAGUGAUGAAGGUCUUCGGAUCGUAAAACUCUGUUAUUAGGGAAGAACAAAUGUGUAAGUAACUAUGCACGUCUUGACGGUACCUAAUCAGAAAGCCACGGCUAACUAUGUG
rnacentral:rRNA from 1 species